GGUAUUCCUCUGCAAACCUGAAACUGCGAGUGCUUGGUCCGAGUUGGGCAAGUUGGUGUUUCUUAACUAUGAAAGUCUGAUACGGGCCUUCCCCUAAACUUCUGUUAGAACGGUGGGAAACAUUGCUCCCGUGAGAACGGUAUAGUGGACUUCAUCGCCACUGACCCACAUUUAUUAGGGUGUGACACGAACUUGUGGACAGAGUACCGAGCUGCUGCUUUGCCAGGUGGAUUUCUGGCUGCGGGUAAAGGACCCGAUACCUCAGUGUGUUUUAAUUUGUUUUAAACCGGUGUAAGUCGACAGACUGACUGUUGCGGCUGUCGAUGGUUUUGUUUUCUUCUGUAUCAGUAGGCACCACAGAUAUUGAUCCUUUUAGUAUUUUAACUCCUUUUUUAUAUAUAUAUAUUGUCGCAGACGGUGAAGGCGCUGCAGGGAAAACAAAUCCUUUUUUUGUCUCCCUGCUUUUGCAUGCACAGCGGUGGGCCUGAGUGAAGACGGCACCGAAGAUUUGCCUUUUUCUACAGUGUUUUACCCAUUUGGGGUCAUGUGUGAGUUGCCGUCCACUUUUAACCUGUGUGCUAUGUCGAUUUGUUUUUAAACGGUUCCCCGCAGCGCUUGUCCUGGCUCAUGGGCAAUCGUACAGUUUUAUAGUUUCUAAUAAGGUAAAGUUUUUAAUUGUUUUUAGGUGCCGCUGUUACACUGUUUCUUUUAUUUUGUAUUAAAAAUCUUUUAAACUGACUGUGCGCCUACGGCUCUGUCCUA